CGCCGCCCGCAGUCAUACGAGUGCUUGUUUCUCAGCAUUGACACGAUUUGAAGGCUGCUUUCCCCUCUUCGGUAUGUUGACCCGACGGUCGCUCAUGGCAACCGGCGGAGCGACACACCGCGACGGACUGUCCUCGGAAAUGAAUCCGCCAACGAGGCGUGUUGCUCGGCGGCGGCGGCGGCGGAAGCGUUAACGUCGCUCCGCGGCGGUGACCCAGCCAGCAGGUGCCCCGGUUCGCCUCCGUCGUGAAAAGGGAACCAAAACGACUUGUUACGCACCUUACAAGAGGGACGCUUCACAGCAGGUGGAUGAAAUAGAUCCGGAAAGUUGCCGUGGUGGUCCUCCGCCGCUCCGUUAGCUCGGGCACCGAGCAGCCGCGGUGGCCCCCCGGCUGGGUGCGUACAUCUCCGCCGCCUGGCCCGGCCGGCAAUGCUCACUGGCUCCCGGCAGCCGCAUUCCACCGUCGGUGGCGGCGGUUUCAGAGCCGAGUGGGAACGGAAAUGGCCGAGUCACCGCGCCGCGCCGCCCGAGGAUAAGCCCGAAUGUGCAGACAGCAACCUCUGGUGGGCGUCAGCGGUAGUGCACAGAAACGUUACAACGCAAGCUGUGAUAAGGUUCAGACAAUAUGCAUGGAAAAUUGUUAUAAUGUAGAUUUUAAAAACUUACUCAUGCAUUUCAUCCAAAUGUAUAGCACACAUAUUUGUUCCAAAAAUAUUUUCUCUAUCUGAAAAGUAACACAAAGGCUGGUGUAUUAAUGUGAGAAUUUUACACCUCUUCACUAUUAGACUCUUUCGGGAUCACAGUCAAAUAAAGUGACAAAUACACAAAA